UAAGGAUAAUCUGAUUUGCUUGGCCUCCAUUUCCAUUCUGUUCUUUAAACUUCACCAAAGAUUUCUCCUAAAACUUUGCUCUCACCUCUCUCCUAAAGCUAGGGUUUCGCACAGCCUCCUUGUUUCCGGCGGUCACCACCGUCAUCUCAGGUGACCGCCGGGCCUUCUCUCUUUUUUUUCUUUUUUUCGUAGUCUCUGUGUCCUCGUCGUCGUCUCCUCCUCUGUCUCUCUGCGGCUGCUUGAUGCGACGACGGUUGUCCGGUUCAGAUCCGGAGCUUUGCUUGUUUCAGGGUUAGAUCUCGGAGGUUGCAGCACUUGAGGACGGUGCUCCGCUCCUCCUUACCUCUGUUUCUUCGUGGCCAGUUGAGGCUCUGUCCGGAUGGUUUUGUAUGCCGUCGUUGUGUUUAGGCUUGAGUGGUGGCGCGUGGUGGUUGUGAGUGCUCGGAUCUGCUGUAGGUGUGCUCUUCCGGCUUGUUUGCAGCGGUGGAGUCCCUGGAGGCUGAGCCGUGUAAGCUCUGUGAUUUCGCGGAUCUAGGGUUUCUUCCCCUACUCUUGCUGGUGGUCUCCGGCAAACGUGCGUGAGCUCUCCGAAGGUGGGCCUGUCCUCUUCCGGCGUGCUCCAGUGGCAACGUGCGUAGGACGUGGCGGCGCGUGUGUGGCGGCACGUGUUAUGGCGGGCUUAUUUGUUUCUCUGCUCCAUUUGUGAGUGGUUGCUCCGACGACUUUGGAGGUUGUAUCAUCGCUUCGUCUUGGUGCCCCUCGUUUCUGCCUCUCUCCAAUAAGGUAAGCGAUGUGGUGAUUCUCGCUUUGGUGGUGUGGACCUUGUCCUCUGUUCCCUGCGGUAGUGAGGCAAUCGAACGGUCCAUUCUCUUGUGGUGUGGUCUCUGGAGGGUUAGUCUCUUGCGAUCCGCUCUCUCUAUAUGUGAUUGUGGUUAAAUGGGUGUAGACGGUCACGGAAGGUGGGGCUGGAGGCGGCAUUCUCCAUGUUUCCUUUCCGAACGACGGCAUCGUCGCUGGUGGUUCUCUCUCGUGCCGUCGGAGGUUAUUGCUGUCGAGUGUUAUGGGUUUGUUCGUGCUCAGAUUCUCUGUCCGGAUCAGGUUUGGGUAGGUAAGUUGGAAGCUGCAUGAGCAGUUGUUUCAAGGUUUGAGGGCGCCUUUCUCUUGGUAGCUCGUGGUGCCCGACUCCCGACCUCAACCAGCUCCGAUUGCUUUGGUCUGUGCUCUUUUUUGUUGCUUAGCUGGUUCUAGGUUUGGUUCUACUUCUGUUGCGGGUUGAAUCUUUUGUCGCAUUAGGUUUUGAUGUUUAGUUUAAAUUCCGUAAUCCGCUACUAGUUUCUUUGUAAUUUCUGUCACAAACUUGAAAACUUGGUAUAAUAUUUAACAUUUUACCCAAAAAAAUAAUAAUCUGAUUUGCUUUAACUGGCGAAUCGUUACGUUUAUUAGAUAAGAAAUUUCGUCG
rnacentral:lncRNA from 1 species